GAAAUAGUAAAAUGGUUUCCGGAUGAUAACUCAAGAACGCAUACGCUUAGGAUCAUGAAACUUCAUGGGUAGAUUGAUCAUGACUCGCAGAUGACCCCUAUUGAUUUUGAGGUCACUAGGUCAAAGGUCAAGGUCACGGUGACCCGAAAUAGUAAAAUGGUUUCCGGAUGAUAACUCAAGAACGCAUACGCCUAGGAUCAUGAAACUUCAUGGGUAGAUUGAUCAUGACUCGCAGAUGACCCCUAUCAAUUUUGAGGUCACUAGGUCAAAGGUCAAGGUCACGGUGACCCGAAAUAGUAAAAUGGUUUCCG